rnacentral:rRNA from 1 species
GGCUUAGGAUGAACGCUGGCGGCGUGCCUAACACAUGCAAGUCGAGCGGAAAUACCGGAAAGUAUUCGUACCGGAAGGUAUUUUAGCGGCGGACGGGUGAGUAACACGUGAGCAACCUGCCUUCAGCUGGGGAAUAACAUUGGGAAACCAGUGCUAAUACCGCAUAACGUCCAUGGGGGACAUCCCUUGUGGACCAAAGGAGAAAUCCGGCAGAAGAUGGGCUCGCGUCCGAUUAGUUAGUUGGCGGGUAACGGCCCACCAAGACCGCGAUCGGUAGCCGAACUGAGAGGUUGAUCGGCCACAUUGGGACUGAGACACGGCCCAGACUCCUACGGGAGGCAGCAGUGGGGAAUAUUGGGCAAUGGGGGGAAAAACCCCCUGACCCAGCAACGCCGCGUGAAGGACGAAGGCCUUCGGGUUGUAAACUUCUUUGAUCAGGGACGAAACAAAUGACGGUACCUGAAGAACAAGCCACGGCUAACUACGUGCCAGCCGCCGC